GGCCCGCUGCUUGUGAGGCGAAUGAGGUGAUUGUUCGAGAAAUGCUUUCUGCAUUGAUGCUCCUUCAUUUGCAUUCAGUGCCUGAGACCUGCCCGCGAAGCAGUGUCUCCUGUGACGGCAGCUCUCCACAGGUGACGGUGACUCAGACAGCUCUGUGUGCACGUGUGCCUGGUGGGGUGGGGACUCUGAAAGGGCUCCAGUUCACUUCACUUCCACUGUUCCACCAGGACAUGUUGGCACAAAGGUGUUUACUGAGGUCUGUCAUGUUAAACACAGAGACCCUACGGCAGAUCUCAUUAGAGAGUGCUUGUUCCCUUCCUCAAGUCUCAGUCCUGGAGAUGCUAGAGUCCACACCACGCAGGCAGGCAGCCAGCGCCAGAAUGACCAGCUCAGUGAUGCAGAAGUGCUGGGAGAAACCUGGACAGUUUCUGUAUGGCAGGGGUCUUUGAGUACAGCCGUCUAGCACGUUUCAUAGGUCUCUUUUAAACUCAUCAGCAGCACAAAACCUGAGGAAGAGCUUUACAUCAGAUCAAUUACUAUGUUUCUCAUUGGAACUCUGUCACGGCUGGAUCCUGAGAAAUUAAAUGCGGUGGGCAUUUUUCAUCAAGCGGCAGAAGCAGCUCAAAAAAACAAAAAAAUAUAGGAGCCUGUCUGCCUGUAUGUGGGAGAAGAAACUCUGAUUUCCCCGGCCUUUCAUUAAUCACGCAGACCCUGCAGACAGCGAUUGAGACAUCUGCCUGUCGCUAAUGAAGCCAGAUGACACCUAACAAAUGGCGACACUGCCAUUCUCUGACACAGGCUUUCUUCUAUCGCCCUGGCCUGAUGCCAGACCCGGCUCAGACAGCCUGGGCGCCGUGUGCAGAUCCCGGGGGUCUGAAUUCUUCUUUAUUGGUAACACUGGAGCUGAAGACAAAUAAGGAGAUUGAGACAUAAGCCAUGGCAUUAUUUCUUGGAGGUCAGAGAGUCGCUGUCAGACUUUUCAGGUGAAGACAGUAGUACUGUCAACAACGCAAUAUGGUCGGAGAAGCCGGAAGCAUGGAAGGGUCGUGGGGGAGCCAGUGUUUAUCCUGCCAAGGGUACACCCUGGACGGGAUGCCAAUCCUUCACAGGACGGACAGACACCGACAUGCACUCGCUCAUAUCAGAGCCAGUCAACCUACCAGCAUGUCUUUGGACUAUGAGGGGAAACUGGAGCAACCGGCGGAAUCCCAGGUGAACACAGAGAGAACAUACAAACUCCACACAGACAGCACCCCAGUUCUGGAAUUGAACCCAGUGCCCCAGACAGCAAUGCCAACCGCUGUGCCACUGCACCACUCAUUAAACCAUUCUCUCUACCCUAAAUGUGAUCCCUAUGCAUGCCCCAUUCAUGCCCUCGUGUCCUUGUUUCACUGCUGAUAACUAUGUGUCCAUCAGCAUCCCUUUGUCAAUAACCAUGACGAUUCUGCAGACUGUAUCAGCCCCCCCUGAUCUCCUCCGUUCUGGACAAAAAAAAUGGAUGCCUUUUAAUGUACUUGUGUGUGGCCCCUUUUUCGACAUGGACUUCUACUUCUUUCCAGUAGAGGGGCUUUUCACUUCUUCCUUUUCGUCCUCCAUGUCUGUGCGUUACUAUAUAUUCCAUAUGCCAUAUAUUCUCAAAAAAAGGGAUUUUAGAUUAAAUUAAAGGGUUCCAUAAAGGUAAGACGAACCCAUUCUGACCCAAGGCUUCUGGUUCCUGAGGUCUCCAGUCAACUGCUGGCCAGGCCAUGCAGAAGCACCAGAAAGUUCGGUUUUUGGCUGCAUUGCCCUGGAAGUUCCCAAGAGGCCUGACCUCGUGGCUCAGUUUCUCUGGAAAACCCAUUACUGGGAGUUGGAGCUCUCGCUCGAGCCAUCGUGCAGCUCUGUUCUAGAUGCCCUGCGUCUUGAGCCAAGCCUGGAGCAGAGCUGGCUGGCUUCCCCUGCUUUCAGAGGGCUCCUGACAUGAUACUGCAGGGAGGCAAAGACGCGUGGCAGAAGCCAACAGCAGAAAGACCGU